ensembl:lncRNA
AAAGAAUCCACCCAGAAACAAGACAGCACUCAAUUACCUGUGGACGUAACAAGAGAGCAGCUUUUCUGAGAUAUAUAUAGCAGAUGGAACAGAAUAUCAGAUCCCAUGUGUGAGACCUCAGAGUGUGUGGACACAGCUUGUUGGUGCUACAGACAGCAGACUACAGCGUGGAGAGAGUGACAGGACAUCUUGUCCCCGCUCUAAUUAUGACAGAGACAGCGUUGGAUUGUCACAAAUACACGAUGUGGACGGGAGAGAAAGAGGCAAUUUGGAUCCUCAUUAAAUUUUCAAAAGUCCUGAUGGUCCUCUGAAAAUUGAACCAACUGUUCCAACGCAACCUUAAUUUUAUGCUACACAUCACACUCCGUCAUGAACCAUGAUGGCUUGAAUGAUCUGUGCUCAACACAGGCCUGAUCCAGAUUCUGUGUUUCUCUUGUUGCCAAUCUACUGAUCCUCUCC